UAGCUCAGUACACGUGGAGACGUGCCCUUAGUGGGGGAUAAUCUCGGGAAUUGAGGAUAAUACCCCAUAGGUCAUGGGAUCUGGAAUGACCCAUGGCUGAUAGUUCCGGCGCUUAAGGAUCGCUCUGCGGCCUAUCAGGUAGUAGUGGGUGUAACGUACCCCCUAGCCUACGACGGGUAUGGGCCUUGAGAGAGGGAGCCCAGAGUUGGAUUCUGAGACACGAAUCCAGGCCCUACGGGGCGCAGCAGUCGCGAAAACUUCACACUGGGGGGAACCCCGAUGAGGGAAUUCCUAGUGCUUGGGCAUUUGUCCAAGCUUUUCCCGAGCGUAGAUAACUCGGGGAAUAAGGGCUGGGUAAGACGGGUGCCAGCCGCCGCGGUAAUACCUGCAGCCCGAGUGGUGGUCGAUUUUAUUGAGUCUAAAGCGUUCGUAGCCGGUCCGUUAAAUCCUUGGGUAAAUCGGGAAGCUCAACUU
rnacentral:rRNA from 1 species